AUCGUUUCUCAGCCUUUUGGCAAGACCAAGUGUAGUAUCUGUUCUUAUCAGAUAUUGGUAUCUGCAGGCACUCCUGGAACCAAUCCCCCCACGGGAUAUGGGAUAUGGAGAGACAACUGUAACUUGUUUCCAUAUCUGCUUAUCUCAACCAGAGGACCUUGUACAGUACCAGAACCCAAUAGGUCUUUGACU
rnacentral:snRNA from 2 species